CCUACGGGAGGCAGCAGUGGGGAAUAUUGCACAAUGGGCGCAAGCCUGAUGCAGCGACGCCGCGUGGGGGAUGAAGGCCUUCGGGUUGUAAACCCCUUUCAGCAGGGAAGAAGCGAAAGUGACGGUACCUGCAGAAGAAGCGCCGGCUAACUACGUGCCAGCAGCCGCGGUAAUACGUAGGGCGCAAGCGUUGUCCGGAAUUAUUGGGCGUAAAGAGCUCGUAGGCGGUUUGUCGCGUCUGCUGUGAAAGUCCGAGGCUCAACCUCGGAUCUGCAGUGGGUACGGGCAGACUAGAGUGUGGUAGGGGAGACUGGAAUUCCUGGUGUAGCGGUGGAAUGCGCAGAUAUCAGGAGGAACACCAAUGGCGAAGGCAGGUCUCUGGGCCACAACUGACGCUGAGGAGCGAAAGCAUGGGGAGCGAACAGGAUUAGAUACCCUGGUAGUCCAUGCCGUAAACGGUGGGCACUAGAUGUGGGGCUCUUUCCAUGAGUCGUCGUCGCNGCUACGCAUAGUGCCCGCCGUCGGGAGGUACGGCCGCGACGGACGUAAACGUACGAAAGGAAGUUAGACGGCGUGAGACGUGACCGACGGACGACGACGAGGGAGGAGG
rnacentral:rRNA from 1 species